rnacentral:rRNA from 1 species
UACGUAGGGUGCAAGCGUUGUCCGGAAUUAUUGGGCGUAAAGAGCUCGUAGGUGGUUUUGUCGCGUUGUCCCGUGAAAUUCCCUGGCUUAACUGGGGGCGUGACGGGCGAUACGGGCAGACUGGAGUACUGCAGGGGAGACUGGAAUUCCUGGUGUAGCGGUGGAAUGCGCAGAUAUCAGGAGGAACACCGGUGGCGAAGGCGGGUCUCUGGGCAGUAAACUGACGCUGGAGGAGCGAAAGCGUGGGGAGCGAACAGG